GACGAACGCUGGCGGCGUGCUUAACACAUGCAAGUCGAGCGGUAAGGCCCUUUCGGGGGUACGACGAGCGGCGAACGGGUGAGUAACACGUGGGUGACCUGCCCUCAGCUCUGGGAUAAGCCUGGGAAACCGGGUCUAAUACUGGAUAUGACUCCAUGACGCAUGUUGUGGGGUGGAAAGCCUUGUGCGGCUGAGGAUGGGCCCGCGGCCUAUCAGCUUGUUGGUGGGGUGANGGCCUACCAAGGCGACGACGGGUAGCCGGCCUGAGAGGGCGACCGGCCACACUGAGACUGAGACACGGCCCAGACUCCUACGGGAGGCAGCAGUGGGGAAUCUUGCGCAAUGGGCGAAAGCCUGACGCAGCGACGCCGCGUGAGGGAUGACGGCCU
rnacentral:rRNA from 1 species